rnacentral:rRNA from 1 species
CUUGCUAAGGCCGAUGGCGACCGGCGCACGGGUGAGUAACACGUAUCCAACCUGCCGAUAACUCGGGGAUAGCCUUUCGAAAGAAAGAUUAAUAUCCGAUAGUAUAUUAAAACCGCAUGGUUUUACUAUUAAAGAAUUUCGGUUAUCGAUGGGGAUGCGUUCCAUUAGUUUGUUGGCGGGGUAACGGCCCACCAAGACUACGAUGGAUAGGGGUUCUGAGAGGAAGGUCCCCCACAUUGGAACUGAGACACGGUCCAA